UGUUCUGUAGCUUAGUUGGAUAAAGCGCCGGACUAGCGAUAUCGGAGUCGUGGGUUCGAAUCCCACCAACACAA
rfam:Aedes albopictus isolate Foshan contig99511, whole genome shotgun sequence.